rnacentral:rRNA from 1 species
GACGAACGCUGGCGGCGUGCUUAACACAUGCAAGUCGAACGGAAAGGCCCUGCUUUUGUGGGGUGCUCGAGUGGCGAACGGGUGAGUAACACGUGAGUUACCUGCCCUUGACUUUGGGAUAACUUCAGGAAACUGGGGCUAAUACCGGAUAGGAGCUCCUGCUGCAUGGUGGUGGUUGGAAAGUUUCGGCGGUUGGGGAUGGACUCGCGGCUUAUCAGCUUGUUGGUGGGGUAGUGGCUUACCAAGGCUUUGACGGGUAGCCGGCCUGAGAGGGUGACCGGCCACAUUGGGACUGAGAUACGGCCCAGACUCCUACGGGAGGCAGCAGUGGGGAAUAUUGCACAAUGGGCGGAAGCCUGAUGCAGCAACGCCGCGUGCGGGAUGACGGCCUUCGGGUUGUAAACCGCUUUCGCCUGUGACGAAGCGUGAGUGACGGUAAUGGGUAAAGAAGCACCGGCUAACUACGUG